ACUCCUACGGGAGGCAGCAGUGAGGAAUAUUGGACAAUGGGCGAGGGCCUGAUCCAGCCAUGCCGCGUGCAGGAAGAAUGCCCUAUGGGUAGUAAACUGUCUUUUAUACGGGAAGAAAGUAGGGGCACGCGUGCCCCGUUGACGGUACCGUAAGAAUAAGGACCGGCUAACUCCGUGCCAGCAGCCGCGGUAAUACGGAGGGUCCGAGCGUUAUCCGGAAUCAUUGGGUUUAAAGGGUCCGUAGGCGGGCCGUUAAGUCAGGGGUGAAAGUCUGCGGCUCAACCGUAGAAAUGCCUUUGAUACUGGCGGUCUUGAGUUAUGGCGAAGUGGGGCGGAAUAUGUAGUGUAGCGGUGAAAUGCAUAGAUAUUACAUAGAACACCGAUUGCGAAGGCAGCCCACUAGCCAUGGACUGACGCUGAUGGACGAAAGCGUGGGAGCAAACAGGAUUAGAUACCCUGGUAGCGACUGA
rnacentral:rRNA from 1 species